rnacentral:rRNA from 1 species
UACGAAGGGGGGCUAGCGUUGUUCGGAAUUACUGGGCGUAAAGCGUGCGCAGGCGGCCUUCCAAGUCAGGGGUGAAAGCCCAGAGCUCAACUCUGGAAUUGCCUUUGAGACUGUGAGGCUUGAGUACGGGAGAGGUGAGUGGAAUUCCCAGUGUAGAGGUGAAAUUCGUAGAUAUUGGGAAGAACACCGGUGGCGAAGGCGGCUCACUGGCCCGAAAACUGACGCUCAUGCACGACAGCGUGGGGAUCAAACAGG